rnacentral:rRNA from 1 species
UUCGCAAUGCCCGAAAGGGUGACGAAGCGACGCCGCGUGGGUGAGGAAGGCCUUCGGGUUGUAAAGCCCUGUCAGGAGUUAAGAAAUAUAAGUGCGCUAAUAUCGCAUUUAUUUGACGAAGGCUCCAAAGGAAGCCACGGCUAACUCUGUGCCAGCAGCCGCGGUAAUACAGAGGCGGCAAGCGUUGUUCGGAAUUAUUGGGCGUAAAGAGCACGUAGGCGGCCGUGUAAGUCGGUUGUGAAAGCCUUCCGCUCAACGGGAGAACGGCAUCCGAUACUGCAUGGCUAGAGUGCGGGAGGGGAGAGUGGAACUUCUGGUGGAGCGGUGAAAUGCGUAGAUAUCAGAAGGAACACCGGCGGCGAAGGCGACUCUCUGGCCCGUAACUGACGCUGAGUGUGCGAAAGCUAGGGGAGCAAACGGGAUUAGAUACCCCGGUAGUCCUAGCCGUAAACGAUGGGCACUAAGUAGAGGGGUUUU